GAUGAACGCUGGCGGCGUGCCUAAUACAUGCAAGUCGAGCGAACAGACGAGGAGCUUGCUCCUCUGACGUUAGCGGCGGACGGGUGAGUAACACGUGGAUAACCUACCUAUAAGACUGGGAUAACUUCGGGAAACCGGAGCUAAUACCGGAUAAUAUAUUGAACCGCAUGGUUCAAUAGUGAAAGACGGUUUUGCUGUCACUUAUAGAUGGAUCCGCGCCGCAUUAGCUAGUUGGUAAGGUAACGGCUUCCCAAGGCAACGAUGCGUAGCCGACCUGAGAGUGUGAUCGGCCACACUGGAACUGAGACACGGUCCAGACUCCUACGGGAGGCAGCAGUAGGGAAUCUUCCGCAAUGGGCGAAAGCUUGUCGGAGCAACGCCGCGUGAGUGAUGAAGGUCUUCGGAUCGUAAAACUCUGUUAUUAGGGAAGAACAAAUGUGUAAGUAACUAUGCACGUCUUGACGGUACCUAAUCAGAAGGCCACGGCUACUACGUG
rnacentral:rRNA from 1 species